rnacentral:lncRNA from 1 species
AGUUGGGCAAGAAGCUAGGAAACAAGAGGAAGAAGUUUUCCACUGCCAGCUGUAGAUUUUUGGAGGCGUAUCAGGGCUGUGCCAGAUUGACAGGUGAGUGGGAGUCAUGUACUUUGCACCAUGAGCUUCCUUAAUUCAUUUUCAUGAAUGUCGCUAAGUGUGAAUUGAUUCCACUUGAGCAUAUUGAUUGAUAUCAUAGUAGAUUCCUCUAUAAUCUUGAUUCUCCAUGCUUGAUUAUUCUGUACAUGCAUUUGAGGAAACAUUGAGAGGAAUUACGAGGGGUUGAUGAGUAAUCAAAUUGGAUCUGAAUUGUGAAAUGAUUUCUUUUGUAAAUUGAUUUCAUUUCCUCUAUUUCAAAGAUUUGUAGAGCCCAUUUCAGUGGUAUAUUGAGUUGCAUUGCACACCCUUGACCCCUCACUCCCAAACCUGAUGUUAGUUUAUGAUUGGGUCAUGAUCGAGUGAGUGGUAGUCUUGAUUAUACUCCUUUUUAGUAGAGU